GACGAACGCUGGCGGCGUGCUUAACACAUGCAAGUCGAGCGGUAAGGCCCUUUCGGGGGUACGACGAGCGGCGAACGGGUGAGUAACACGUGGGUGACCUGCCCUCAGCUCUGGGAUAAGCCUGGGAAACCGGGGUCUAAUACCGGAUAUGACUCCAUGACGCAUGUUGUGGGGUGGAAAGCCUUGUGCGGCUGAGGAUGGGCCCGCGGCCUAUCAGCUUGUUGGUGGGGUGAUGGCCUACCAAGGCGACGACGGGUAGCCGGCCUGAGAGGGCGACCGGCCACACUGGGACUGAGACACGGCCCAGACUCCUACGGGAGGCAGCAGUGGGGAAUCUUGCGCAAUGGGCGAAAGCCUGACGCAGCGACG
rnacentral:rRNA from 1 species